CUUUUUAACAACUCAGGGAUUUCAUCCAACGUCACCACAUACUACGGCACACAGCUAUACAUCCAGAAUCCUAACCUCAGUCCCCUCAGUUUGCCAGGUGUCCUCCUGUGUGGAGCUCCUGGUUCUGCAUUUGUGUCUCUGAAUGCUACAGACAGUCAGACAAUCCUGGACAGCCUCAAGAAAUCCUGCCAACAAAUUAGUCCAGAGGCCACAGCAGCUCUUGUGGCAAACUUCCCCACUUUGUCCACGGAAACCAUCAAGUCGCUCGGCAACCAGAGCAUUGGUCUGAGUGAGGGCCAGAUAAGCGAUGCUAUCCCCAAU